rnacentral:lncRNA from 1 species
UUUUGUCUCCUACACGAAGUGUAAGCUCACCUGCACCAACAUCAAUAAUUGUUUUAGCAUUUGCUAAAAAAGGCCUCCCUAAAAUCAAAGGAGUGUUAUUAUCCUCCUCUAUGUCUAGAACAACGAAAUCAAUAGGAAAUAUGAACUUAUCUACUUUCACUAGUACAUCUUCAAUAAUACCCCUAGGAAAUCUUAUAGUUUUAUCUGCCAAUUGAAUGCUCAUCCUAGUUUGUUUAGGUUUCCCAAGACCUAGUUGCUUAAAAUUUUG